GAAACAUCUAUCUAACAGAUGUUAUAGUGGUGUUUGAACACCAUCGAUCAAACCAAAAAGGAACAUCUAAAUCAGAUGGCAUCGAGUAGGCAGAGCAAGCUAAUCAAAACACAUGAUUACACACCACUAUGGUUAAUUAGUGAUGGUGUUAGCUUCCUCAGUGGGAACUUUUAACAUCUCGAUUUGAUAUUGCAAGUCUGCGAUCAGAACUCCUUGGUUUUUAAUACUUGAUUCCAGCACUUUAAUCCUUGAUUUUGCCUCAUCGAUCUCCUUAAACAGUUGAGUAGUUAUCUCGGAUUGACUUACUUGCUUCUUCCCUGUGAUGAGAUCCAUCACCUUUUUCCAGUCUGGAUCAUAAGAAUCCAUUUUGAAGAUGGUAGGAAUGGGUGAGAAAGGAAGGUUUUGGUUUGAGAGUGAACAACCUAGUAUUUAUAGAUGAAGCUUCUAGGUUUCCAAGAAUUUCUUGUUUUUGGUUUAUGUUUUAGUUUCCAAGAAUUUCUUGGUUUGACUAAGUCAUGAAAAAUCGUUUUAUCUUGUAGUCUCCUUCUCAAAAGAGAGUUCUUUGAUUUCCC
rnacentral:lncRNA from 1 species